UACGUAGGGUGCAAGCGUUACCCGGAUUUAUUGGGCGUAAAGAGUGCGUAGGCGGUUUUGAAAGUCAUCAUUGAAAUCUUGGGGCUCAACCCCAAGCCUGGUGGUGAUACUUUAAGACUAGAUUAUUUGAGGGGGUACCGGAACAGUUGGUGGAGUAGUGAAAUGCGUUGAGAUCAACUGGAACACCAAAGGCGAAGGCAGGUACCUGGCAAAUCAAUGACGCUGUUGCACGAAAGCGUGGGGAGCAAAACGG
rnacentral:rRNA from 1 species